rnacentral:rRNA from 1 species
AACGCGAAGAACCUUACCAAGGUUUGACAUGGCCGGAAAACUCAUGGAGACAUGGGGUCCUUCGGGGCCGGUCACAGGUGGUGCAUGGCUGUCGUCAGCUCGUGUCGUGAGAUGUUGGGUUAAGUCCCGCAACGAGCGCAACCCUCGUCCCAUGUUGCCAGCGGGUUAUGCCGGGGACUCAUGGGAGACUGCCGGGGUCAACUCGGAGGAAGGUGGGGAUGACGUCAAGUCAUCAUGCCCCUUAUGUCUUGGGCUGCAAACAUGCUACAAUGGCCGGUACAAAGGGCUGCGAGCCUGUGAGGGUGAGCGAAUCCCGGAAAGCCGGUCUCAGUUCGGAUCGGGGUCUGCAACUCGACCCCGUGAAGUCGGAGUCGCUAGUAAUCGCGGAUCAGCAACGCCGCGGUGAAUACGUUCCCGGGCCUUGUA